rnacentral:misc_RNA from 1 species
GAUGAAGAACGUAGCAAAAUGCGAUAAGUAAUGUGAAUUGCAGAAUUCAGUGAAUCAUCGAAUCUUUGAACGCACAUUGCGCCCGCCAGUAUUCUGGCGGGCAUGCCUGUUCGAGCGUCAUUUCAACCCUCAAGCACAGCUUGGUGUUGGGACUCGCGUUAAUUCGCGUUCCUCAAAUUGAUUGGCGGUCACGUCGAGCUUCCAUAGCGUAGUAGUAAAACCCUCGUUACUGGUAAUCGUCGCGGCCACGCCGUUAAACCCCAACUUCUGAAUGUUGACCUCGGAUCAGGUAGGAAUACACGCUGAACUUAAGCAUAUCAAUAAGCGGAGGA